UAUGAGUUAGAGGGGAACUUUUCCUCGUAACGGAUGUCUGAUUCCUGAAAAUCAGCCAUUAAGGACACGUCACACAUGUCAAUGAACUGAAAGGGCGUGCCUACACGCGCUUAUUUCCUAGACAAAAACGUAACAAGAAAUUAGAAAGAAGCGAAAAGACGGGGAGAAAUCCGAAAUGGCAGAAGACGAAGGCAAAGCAGAUGCGCAAUUGUUUCAGCUCCUGUCCAACCUUCUCCAGCAAGUAGAGUCAAUAACUAAUCAGGAAGAAGUUGAAUUGCGAUCCAAAAUUGAAGCACUUGGAUUAGAGGUUACAAAAGUUCCUACAAAGUCAACUAAGAGCCUUGAUGAGCUGGAAAUAGCAAGGGAGCUGGAUAAAUUAUCAGCAAAAUUGGAUGAUGUUGAUGAAAUGAUAUCAUCAGCAAUGGCUGCAGAUCCACAGGUGCAGUCAAUCUUGAGUGGUACUGCUGAUGUCUGGAUGCCAGUUAUUACAGCUACUGCUGAUGAGCGGAGAAAUUUUACAGGAUCACUUGAAGAUGAUGCUCAACAAGAGACGGCGAAAAGUGCUGAUUAACUUUUGCAAUCCCCAAUCAGAGAAUUUAAGUUUUUUGUGGGAAGCAGUGCCCUUUUAUGACCUUCUGCAUUUGCUCUAUCUUUCAACAACAAUAAGAUUAAUUUUCUGCUUUCUUGGAAUACAGGCAUGUUGGUUCUGUGGAAUGUUGGUGCAGAGGACCAUAUUUUUUCUCAGACAGAAUGUUUCUCUAUUGGUGACGUAAAAACUAGUCUUUGUUAUGCAUUUGGCCAAACCAUUUGAAGGAGCCAGUGUAGUAAUGGAUAUCUGGUCAUGAAGACCAUUUUCUUGGCCAUUAUGGCUCGUAGGUUAAUUUGUGUACAAGCUCCCCAAACUUCUAGGUGAAAA